GACGAACGCUGGCGGCGUGCCUAAUACAUGCAAGUAGAACGCACAGUUUAUACCGUAGCUUGCUACACCAUAGACUGUGAGUUGCGAACGGGUGAGUAACGCGUAGGUAACCUGCCUGGUAGCGGGGGAUAACUAUUGGAAACGAUAGCUAAUACCGCAUAAUAUUAAUUAUUGCAUGAUAAUUAAUUGAAAGGUGCAAUUGCACCACUACCAGAUGGACCUGCGUUGUAUUAGCUAGUAGGUGAGGUAACGGCUCACCUAGGCGACGAUACAUAGCCGACCUGAGAGGGUGAUCGGCCAAACUGGGACUGAGACACGGCCCAGACUCCUACGGGAGGCAGCAGUAGGGAAUCUUCGGGAAUGGACGAAAGUCUGACCGAGCAACGCCGCGUGAGUGAAGAAGGUUUUCGGAUCGUAAAGCUCUGUUGUAAGAGAAGAACGGGUGUGGGAGUGGAAAGUUCACACUGUGACGGUAUCUAACCAGAAAGGGAUGGCUAACUACGUG
rnacentral:rRNA from 1 species